rnacentral:lncRNA from 1 species
CGGGAUUUAAUACUUAUCCUCCUCCGCCGUUGAAUUAAGAGAGAGAUAGAGAUGACGGUGGUCGGUGGGAUAGAUGGCUAUGGUCCUCUAUCUUCAGAUCCGACGUCGCUGUGCUCGGCUACACCUCAACGAUCUUAAGCCACCGUCGUCUUCCAUGGCACACUUCACCUCCACAUCUCUUGCCGCGUUGCUUACUCUCAACACAAAUCAGAAAGUACUAUCAACUAUGAAGUAAAGGAAGAGAAUGAGAAAAGAAAAUGAGAAACAAAAUCUGGAUCUAGGAAUGUC